UACGUAGGGCGCGAGCGUUGUCCGGAAUUAUUGGGCGUAAAGAGCUCGUAGGCGGCCGGUUGCGUCUGCUGUGAAAUCCCGGGGCUUAACCCCGGGCGUGCAGUGGAUACGGGCCGGCUGGAGGCAGGCAGGGGAGAAUGGAAUUCCCGGUGUAGCGGUGAAAUGCACAGAUAUCGGGAGGAACACCGGUGGCGAAGGCGGUUCUCUGGGCCUGUACUGACGCUGAGGAGCGAAAGCGUGGGGAGCGAACAGG
rnacentral:rRNA from 1 species